rnacentral:rRNA from 1 species
CUAAGUGGCGGACGGGUGAGUAAUGUAUAGUUAAUCUGCCCUUUAGAGGGGGAUAACAGUUGGAAACGACUGCUAAUACCCCAUACUCCUUUUACAUUAAUUGUAAUUGGGAAACGUUUUUUCGCUAAAGGAUGAGACUAUAUGGUAUCAGGUAGUUGGCGGGGUAAGAGCCCACCAAGCCAAUGACGCCUAGCUGGUCUGAGAGGAUGAUCAGCCACACUGGAACUGAGACACGGUCCAG